rnacentral:rRNA from 1 species
GUGGGGAAUAUUGGACAAUGGGUGAAAGCCUGAUCCAGCCAUGCCGCGUGUGUGAAGAAGGUCUUCGGAUUGUAAAGCACUUUAAGUUGGGAGGAAGGGCAGUAAGUUAAUACCUUGCUGUUUUGACGUUACCGACAGAAUAAGCACCGGCUAACUUCGUGCCAGCAGCCGCGGUAAUACGAAGGGUGCAAGCGUUAAUCGGAAUUACUGGGCGUAAAGCGCGCGUAGGUGGUUUUGUAAGUUGGAGGUGAAAUCCCCGGGCUCAACCUGGGAACUGCCUCCAAAACUGCAUGACUAGAGUACGGUAGAGGGUAGUGGAAUUUCCUGUGUAGCGGUGAAAUGCGUAGAUAUAGGAAGGAACACCAGUGGCGAAGGCGACUACCUGGACUGAUACUGACACUGAGGUGCGAAAGCGUGGGGAGCAAACAGGAUUAGAAACCCUGGUAGUCC